CUCAUCAGCGACUCUGUGCAGUGCUGUUGUUGUAUUCUAUAUAAGCCACCUUGCACUACCUUUCCUCGGAGACAUUACUCUUUACCAGUAAUAGUAUUAUUAUUAUUAUUAUUAUACUCACAACACACUCCCAAGCUAUGAAGCCAAACUCUUUCGUGUUGCUUAUCUUUCUCUGUUUUCUUCUUCUAUCCUCAGCAUCUGCUCGUCUCCUACCCCCUAAACAAGAUGAAAAAGAGGUUAAGGAUUCACUCACAGGGGAAAAAGAUAAUGUUUCCAAUCUCAUGGGAUUAGAGGAAUAUGCAUGUGAAGAGGGAGAUGAAGAAUGCUUAAGGAGAAGGAUGGUAGCAGAGGCUCACUUGGAUUACAUUUACACUCAACACCAUAAGAAGCCUUAGGCAUAUAUAUUUAUAUUAGCUAUAAUGGUAGAUACUCUCCCCUGAAACAACUAUGUCAAGUCAUCACUUGUAAAAAGUCUUACAACAAAUAAUAGUUUGAGAUACCAAUAUUACCUCACAUACCCUCCUUGUAACAACAGAAAUGUUGGUUUAAG
rnacentral:misc_RNA from 1 species